GAUGAAGAACGUAGCGAAAUGCGAUAAGUAGUGUGAAUUGCAGAAUUCAGUGAAUCAUCGAAUCUUUGAACGCACAUUGCGCCCCUUGGUAUUCCAUGGGGCAUGCCUGUUCGAGCGUCAUCUACACCCUCAAGCUCUGCUUGGUGUUGGGCGUCUGUCCCGCCCCCGCGCGUGGACUCGCCCCAAAUCCAUUGGCAGCGUUCCUUGCCCCCUCUCGCGCAGCACAUUGCGCUUCUCGAGGGCGGCUCCGGGACGCGAUCCAGCAAGAUGACCACCGUCUUUGACCUCGGAUCAGGUAGGGAUACCCGCUGAACUUAAGCAUAUCAAUAAGCGGGGA
rnacentral:misc_RNA from 1 species